UACGUAGGGCGCGAGCGUUGUCCGGAAUUAUUGGGCGUAAAGAGCUUGUAGGCGGUCUGUCGCGUCUGCUGUGAAAAUCCGGGGCUCAACCCCGGACUUGCAGUGGGUACGGGCAGACUAGAGUGUGGUAGGGGAGACUGGAAUUCCUGGUGAUAGCGGUGAAAUGCGUAGAUAUCGGGAGGAACACCGUUGGCGAAGGCGACUUUCUGGGCUGCUACUGACGCGUGAAGCGCGAAA
rnacentral:rRNA from 1 species